rnacentral:rRNA from 1 species
AGAGUUUGAUCCUGGCUCAGGAUGAACGCUAGCUACAGGCUUAACACAUGCAAGUCGAGGGGAAACGAUAUCGAAAGCUUGCUUUUGAUGGGCGUCGACCGGCGCACGGGUGAGUAACGCGUAUCCAACCUGCCCAUCACUUGGGGAUAACCUUGCGAAAGUAAGACUAAUACCCAAUGAUAUCUCUAGAAGGCAUCUGAAAGAGAUUAAAGAUUUAUCGGUGAUGGAUGGGGAUGCGUCUGAUUAGCUUGUUGGCGGGGUAACGGCCACCAAAGCAACGAUCAGUAGGGGUUCUGAGAGGAAGGUCCCCCANAUUGGAACUGAGACACGGUCCAAACUCCUACGGGAGGCA